rnacentral:lncRNA from 13 species
CUUAGACAUUAUUUGAUAUUUUUUUGUUUGCAUAUUUCUUUCUCUCUGCUAGAAUGUAAAGUUUUAUGAAGACGAAACUAUUUUGCUUAUCAUCCUGUUUCCUAGUGCCUACAAGAGUGUCUAACAUUAAAUGGGUGCUCACAUUUGGGUCUCACUUUGUAAUCCAGGCUGGAGUGCAGUGGUUGAUCUUGGCUCACUAUAGCCUCACACUCCCACCAGGCUCCAGAGAUCCCUCAACCUCAGCCUCGUGAAGUACAUGUCACCACAACCAGGGUGGUGACGGCUCUGCUGGUGCCAGCUCCAGGUUUUGCAUGACCUCUGUGGGCUCCCCUAUACCUGCUUAGACCUCUAUUCUCUUUUUGCACGUGCUGUCUGUCUCCUGCUUGCUCUGUGGCACAGCUGGGUAAGUGUCCAUCUUAUUCCUGGCACAAUGUAGGGGCUUCAGUGUUGGUGGAAAGGCAGAGAGAAAUUCAUUAAUUCCCAAGGGAGAAAUUUAAGACUGGAGAAUUAAGAGAACAAUUUGGCAGUAUCUAGUAAAUAUAUAUAUCCAGUAAUUCCUUUCUUAUAUCAGAAAACAAACAUAUAGACGACAGAAAUGUUUUCAGAAGUCAAAAGACUAAAUUCAAGUAAUGAGUCUGAUCUUUUCUCCAACCUUCUUCCUGCUAACUGUUCAUCUGGAGACCCCUAGAAAAUUUUGCCCUAAUGCUGGUGUCUCUCCUCCCUCCCCCGUCCCCCACUAUUUCCACUGAUUUUAAAUGAAAGUGGUCCUUAAUAUUUUGGUAUUCAUAUUUUUCUACCCUUUGCCCCUUCAGCCCUUCAUACAGUGCUCUCUAAAUAUGCUUAGUGGUGGUACUCUAAGGCUGUAGGCGUUUACAAAAAUCCCUAGGCAGUCUCAUGAAAAUCAAACAGUCCACCUUUCUUUAGCUGGUUUCUUCAAAGGGAUUUCUGUAAACAGCACUUCCUUCAAGCAGAGUCCACCUGCCUUUCCUAUCCUUGCUUUCUUGGGAGGUGCCUGCAGUGCCAUCAAGGGAGCCCAACCCAGAGAAGGGAGCUCACAAAUGAG